GGGUGAGUAACACGUGAGCAACCUGCCCUUGGCUCUGGGAUAGCCUCCGGAAACGGGGAUUAAUACCGGACAUGACUCCUUACGGCAUCGUUUGGGGUGGAAAGUUUUUCGGCCAGGGAGGGGCUCGCGGCCUAUCAGCUUGUUGGGGGGGUAACGGCCCACCAAGGCGACGACGGGUAGCCGGCCUGAGAGGGCGACCGGCCACACUGGGACUGAGACACGGCCCAGACUCCUACGGGAGGCAGCAGUGGG
rnacentral:rRNA from 1 species